rnacentral:lncRNA from 1 species
UUCUUCAGCUUUUUACUUAUCUUGAGCCCUUGCAACAUAUUGCAAAUGUUAUAACCACUGCCAAUAUCUAAUACCCACAGUGAAGAAUGAGUAGUAGCUAAAGAAACCUUGAAAUAUUUUUCAUUAAUGUCUCACCUUGUUUCUUGUCCUUUAGAGUUGCAAGAUACUCCUUGCAGUUUUUUUCUUCCAAUUAUUUAUGAUAAACCUUGUUGCCUUGAACAUCAUUCUCUGGAGGGAUUAUCUUUGAAGGCUUAUCGAUCACAUCCAUAAGUUUUUCAUGCAUGAGAACAAUUCUCAAAUUUCUAUACCAGUCAUCAAAGUUUGGU